AUGUCUUUGUGCCAGCAUUUUGGGGGCAGCAGUGCAGUCGUUAUACAAGAAGAACAAAGUCAGAUAGUUGCAAGUGCAAUGCUGGUCCAUGACCUGGAGCUGUUGGGGGUGACAUCUUUCAUCAACACUCUGGUCACAGUCAGACAAGGUAAGACAAUGACAGAGGGACAGUCAGGAGUAGCAGGGGACAGGGCUGCCUACAGGAUUACUCACACUAUACUUCAGGAUAGGACUGUGGGCCAGAUCCUGAACUUAGCUGAAUCUUGAGGCUUAAGGGGAGAGGGUGAAGCUGGUAUACAUCCCUGGCCUUGGAGGAUUACCCAUGGCGUCUGGGAGGGUGUCUCCUGGGAUCUGAACAGUAAUAUAUAUAUAUAUUUAAGUGUUCUAGAAAAGGUGUGAACACUCAGAUGAAAAUGUUUUGUUUUGUUUUGUUUUGUUUUUUGUAAUAGAAUACAAUAUUAAUCGUAGCAUGGAGGACAGUUGACUGUGAAAAAUUGAAAAUAAGCCCUGCGAAG
rnacentral:lncRNA from 1 species